AUCAUAUCAAGAGGACAUCUCCCAAUCAAUUGCUUGUAUCUUUCCCAAACUUCAUAGAGGGAUUCACCCUCUUUUUGUCUGAAGUUUUAUAAUUCCACCCUAAGCUU